GGAUCAUAAACCGUGAAAUAGACCAUAAAAAUGGUAAGAAGGCUUAUCCAAUUCCAAAUUACAAUUGUUUAAACACUAAGCAGCUUAAGAAAGCAAGCAGUAUGAUCAUUCUCAUCCAGAACAACAAACCACUGCUGAGGUAAAAUCUUUUGGCUGGUGGUAACACAAUGAAAAUAUUAACCUUAGCUGUUAAUCCUUUUAAUUUAUAGGUAUUACAUAAAUCAUGCUGCUGAUUUUUCUAAGCCUGCUGUUAGGAUUUGCUGCAUACUGUUCACCUGGAAAGAAUGGCCUGUUGGGAAUUCCUGACUACUUUCGGAAUAUUUCAGAUGUAAUACAGAUUGCAAAUGUGAGCUUGAAAAUCACAUCAGGAUGCCCAGAGGUGAGUGAGCAUUUCUCUGGCAAGAACAGGAAGAUCUAUGGCACAUUCUUGUAGCUGACCAGCAUAUGGAGGACUCUCACUAAAGGUAUUGCCAGCAUUAGGUUUUGUUUGUGCUUUUUGUAUUGGUAGUGAUGGGUUCUUAAUAUCUCUGUGAUAAAAAAUUGAAUAUUGUAUGUGAGUUAUGCUCUUUGUGAUAUUUUAUUUGCUCUCUCAUGUGCAUACCAUGCAUUUGAAAACCCUGACUCACUGCAUCACUGAACCAGCAACAGCUUUUCCUCUUUAAAUGCUAAUAAAAUUAUGCAGUA